rnacentral:rRNA from 1 species
GAUGAACGCUGGCGGCGUGCCUAAUACAUGCAAGUCGAGCGAACGGACGAGAAGCUUGCUUCUCUGAUGUUAGCGGCGGACGGGUGAGUAACACGUGGAUAACCUACCUAUAAGACUGGGAUAACUUCGGGAAACCGUAGCUAAUACCGGAUAAUAUUUUGAACCGCAUGGUUCAAAAUUGAAAGACGGUCUUGCUGUCACUUAUAGAUGGAUCCGCGCUGCAUUAGCUAGUUGGUAAGGUAACGGCUUACCAAGGCAACGAUGCAUAGCCGACCUGAGAGGGUGAUCGGCCACACUGGAACUGAGACACGGUCCAGACUCCUACGGGAGGCAGCAGUAGGGAAUCUUCCGCAAUGGGCGAAAGCCUGACGGAGCAACGCCGCGUGAGUGAUGAAGGUCUUCGGAUCGUAAAACUCUGUUAUUAGGGAAGAACAUAUGUGUAAGUAACUGUGCACAUCUUGACGGUACCUAAUCAGAAAGCCACGGCUAACUACGUG